GCAAUUACAACUCAAAUUGAAGCGUGUUUGUCGCCGAAUCUCCAGACAAAAGAAGAAGAAGAAAGUUUUUUCCUCAACUUCAAAACUCCAGUAAUUAUAAUAUUAUUGGGCAGUCAUCUUAUUUCUGAUAGGAUGAACUAAGAAGAAGAAAGCUACUAAGAAGAAGUAGACAAUUCGGCUUAUAUAAUUUUCCCUCUGUUUGUAUGAAGUUGUUGAACGAAUUAGAGGGUUUUUUGUGUAUUUGUUUAUAUUUGAUGGUUUAACGUCUGAACUCAAUCUAUGAUUUGAAAUUGUUAGGUGUUUGUUCUUGUUAUUGUUGGGUUUUGGUAGUAAUUGUUGUUGUUGUAUGAUUGAUCAAAUUGUUAGGUUUGUUAUAGCAUUUUAUUUGAAUGUAAAGUGUUAUCUGUAGGUUGGCAUCAGUGUUUCAGUUAGUGGAGUAAAAUGUGCCUAAAUAGAGCAGAAUGAACACAGAAAAAUACAUUUGUAUUUUGAUAGUUUAUCUUCUAAACUCAUUAAAUGAUUGGAAAAGAAAGUAUAAAGAUUGAAUCGUUGUUCUCAUAUUGUUAUUGUUGUGUUUUAGUAGUAACUGGCUAAUUGAUGUUUAUUUAUGAUUCAAAUUGUUAUAUAUUUCAUUUAAAUGCAAAGAAUAUCUGUAUUUGAACUGUUCGACGAGGCCACCUCUGAAUUAGUAAGUGAGGUUUUGAGCUGCAUUUGUGUAUAUCUAUACCUCUUGAACAAGUUCAGUAGAUAUAAUAGGGCAUAUUUGGUUCACAACAGAUGAAGAAUUAUGAGAGUAGUGAUCAGUAGGGCAGUGAAAAGGGUUGUUUGUAUUGGUGCUUGUGGUGGUUGUACUAUGAGCAUCAACAGGAUAUUGAGAAAAAAUUUGUUGUUGGUUAAUUUGGGCAAGGAGGUUUUUCUUAAGCUUCUGUCUAUCUGUAGCUUUGUGGUUUUGAAACCAAUAAAAUACAUUUUUCCCUUCAAUCUUUCCAUAAGAAGACUAGGUGCACCAUAUAGCAUUAGAGCACCACUAAGUAGAAGCUAAAUAAUUUCCCUAAUACAACCACUUCUCUGCUUAUCUCAUGAUGUUGAAAAUGAGACAAAAUGAUUAACAGAACAACCCAAGACACCAAGAUUGACUAUAUCAAGAUACUGAUAAAUAUUUCCUUCUAAACAGCAUUACCUCAAUUUGCAGAUGUAAAGCCUUCACAUCUUCCACGUAGCUUAGUUAAGCUUACUUUGCUUCUUUCACAACUUGCAGUAGCAAAUUUUCUUCUUUAUUUCGUCAUCCAAUAAAAAAACAAAUGAGAUCCAUAUUUGAUUCUGCCUUUGAUAUUGUCUCACGACUUUGAGGAAGUCAAUACUAGUUCAUUGUACGGUGAUAAUACUUUGUAUUACUUUCAAUAUAGGCUCUAACAAAAUGCAAUCAGUUUCUUGUUCAUUUGUGGUACUUGCUCUGUGACUUUGAUUUUGCUUGUCUCAUUUUGACAUGUAACACUUGAAAGCAUAAGUUGUUUAAUAUUUGUUGAGAAGCUUAUUGGUUCAUAUUUGAACUUUUUUGUAUUGAAAUUUAUAUAGUAGUAAGGAUAAAUUUAUGUCGAGUAAAAGUGGUAGCAGAAAAGGUUUACCACAAUCAAAAUGUAUUAAGUAUUUUGAUAAAAUAUUUCUACUUUGCUCGCGAUGCUAUGGUACAACUCUUGUUGCUAGUAUUAUAAAAUUGUUAUGGAUUGA